GCUUAAGUUUCUACAAAUAAAACCUAAAUUCUCUUCAGAAAGCAAACAGUUUUGUGAAAAUUUAAAAUUCACAACUACAAAAGAAAAAUUUGAUAAUUAGAAUGUUGAUUAACAAAAAAGAAAACAUAAACAAUGAGAAUUUCUUGAUUAUUUACCAAUAUCUACCUCUUGUGCUACACCUGUUCUUUCUAUGUGUGCCACGUCUGAAUCUGGAAUGUCUCUGAUUGAUUAUUGAGUUCCACUUAUUCCUAUUUAUAUAAUCUAUUUAAUACUUUUGUGUUUGUUAUUUCUCCAAAUGCUAUAAAAGGAGAAUCAGAAGCUUAUACAUGUUUGAAUUUUUAUUCUGAUUAACUUUAAUUAAAAAUUCCAUUGAUUCAUUAAUCAUUAUUUAUAUUUAUUCAGACAAACUGUCUUAGUAAGUAUUUAUUUUAAAUUUUAUAAUUUUUAAUUGCAUGAAUUACAAAUAUAUUAACAUUUUAUUUGUUUUUAGAGCUUACAUAUGAAGCUUAUAGGUCAUUUCGAACUUAAAAUUUAAAUCAUUUACUAAAAGCAAAGACAUAGAAUAAUUACUAUGUUUCAAAACAUUUUUUUUUUAUUAGGUUGGUGGGUUAAAUAUGAUCAUUUAAAUGAAAAAAUGUAUACUUGUGCAACUUGUAAUCUGGGUGUUUUAACAUCACAACCACAUCUAUGGCCAACUCUAAGAUCACCUUAUUUUGUUUCGAAGUGUUUUGGAAUCAAGUUAUGGCAAUAUUUUGUGUAUAAAAUAUAACAAAUACAUUUAAAAAGUGCUUAUUUCUGA
rnacentral:lncRNA from 1 species